UACGUAGGGUGCAAGCGUUGUCCGGAAUUAUUGGGCGUAAAGAGCUCGUAGGCGGUCUGUUGCGUCGGCUGUGAAAACCCGGGGCUCAACCCCGGGCCUGCAGCCGAUACGGGCAGACUAGAGUUCGGCAGGGGAGACUGGAAUUCCUGGUGUAGCGGUGAAAUGCGCAGAUAUCAGGAGGAACACCGGUGGCGAAGGCGGGUCUCUGGGCAGCAACUGACGCUGAGGAGCGAAAGCGUGGGGAGCGAAUGGG
rnacentral:rRNA from 1 species